rnacentral:rRNA from 1 species
GCUUAAAACCAAGCCCACAACACCUAAAAUUUAUAAUAUUUCUAACCCACAACAAAUAAAACAUUUUAUACACUUAGUAAAGGCGAUUAAAAAAUAUGUUCGGAGCCUCAAAAAUAGUACCGCAAGGGAAAGAUGAAAUAAUAAUGAAACAAACUCAAGCACCACAAAGCAGAGCUCAACCCUCGUACCUUUUGCAUCAUGGUCUAGCAAGUCUACCCAAGCAAAAAGUAAUUUAAGUUUGACCCCCCGAAACUAAGCGAGCUACUUCAAAACAGCCUUAUAAGGGCCAACCCGUCUCUGUUGCAAAAGAGUGGGAAGAUUUUUUAGUAGGGGUGACAGACCUACCGAGCUUAGAGAUAGCUGGUUGCUCAAGAAAAGGAUAUUAGUCCUCCCUUAAGUCCUUAAACAACUAAUAAUCUGCCAACGGACCUAAGAGCCAUUCAAAUAAGGUACAGCCUAUUUGAAGUAGGGUACAACCUAAAUAACAGGGUAAUGAAACUUUUUAGUGACCUAGUGGGCUUAAGAGCAGCCACCUAAAUAAAAGCGUUAAAGCUUAAUCACUGUGUUAUCAAAUCCCAAUAACCAAUCAAAACCCUUAUUUUAUAUUGAGCGAUUCUAUACAACUAUAGAAAACCACAUGCUAGAACUAGUAACAAGAAUAAGACCUUCUCCAAAAUACAAGUGUUAGCCAAAACGAACUAACACCGGCAUUUACCGCCACUGAACACAGAGUAGUAACUAAACAAGAAAAUACUACUUUUUUUGGCGUCAAUCUUACACCAGAGUAUUUCAGGACGAUUAAAAAAAGAGGAAGGAACUCGGCAAACUAUUAACCCCGCCUGUUUACCAAAAACAUCGCCUCUUGACAAACAUAAGAGGUCCAGCCUGCCCAGUGACAAAGUUUAACGGCCGCGGUACCCUAACCGUGCAAAGGUAGCGCAAUCACUUGUUCCUUAAAUAGGGACUAGUAUGAACGGCAUCACGAGGGUUAUUCUGUCUCCCCCUUUUAAUCAGUGAAACUGACCUCCCCGUGAAGAGGCGGGGAUAAAAAUAUAAGACGAGAAGACCCCAUGGAGCUUUAAACUAAGUACUAACUGCUUUACCCAUGCCAUUAUAACUUAGCAACUGUAGAAACUAGUUUUUGGUUGGGGUGACCGCGGAGCAAAACACAACCUCCACGAUGAAUGAGCCUAAAACCCUAAUUACUAGAGCCACAACUCAAACAAACAACAAAUUGACAUAUUUGAUCCAAUUAAUUUUGAUCAACGAACCAAGUUACCCUGGGGAUAACAGCGCAAUCUACUUCAAGAGCCCCUAUCGACAAGUGGGUUUACGACCUCGAUGUUGGAUCAGGGUACCCAGGUGGUGCAACCGCUACUAAA